ACAGAAAUGUUCGAGACAGUCCAUUUCGUCUGCCAUGGCUCAAUUAUGGACUAUUCUCAUUCUCUGUGGGACGACGUGUUGACAGCCAGGCCUUGAAUUAUUGUACAAAGUCAUUCUUUUUAACUCAGAUGGGAGAUUUUUUUUUGUUUUUUUUAUCUGGUGCCAUACUGCAAGGAGGACAUCAGGCGUUGUGGAGCUCAGAUGGGAUUGUGUGUACAACAUCAAGUCACUGCCACUUACCUGCUCUAUUGACUGUUAAACAACAGGCCGCGAUAACAGUGGACCUUGGAACGGAGGAAACAGCUCCUGGUUUGCCCAUUUGGUAAUAAACGAUCUUUGUCUCAUUGGAAGCUUCAGUGGUGACCAAGGUUGGGUUUUCCAGCAGACGGCCUGAUGUUUUCCUCCACAAUCCUAAUAUCAUCCUCUUGUUCUUGCACUUUCGUGACUUUUUGCACUCCUCUGUUUUUUGUUUCUAAGAGCCCUGUAACAGUAAAUUUCUCCUCUGUGAGAUCAAUAAAGUCUAUCUUAUCUUU